GUUGUUGUACUUUUGAGAUAGAUAUUGUACUACUUAUGGCUUCUUUUAUUGUCUAGCUUUAUUUCUUUACUUGGUGUAGACGAUAGAUCUGUACUUGCUCUGAUAUCAUUAGUUGCUAGUUAUUUCAUUUCCUAUAUUUGUUCUAUCUCUUGCUUUUACUUCCGCUUUUGUUGUUUACGCCUUAUAUGUGCAGACAUAUGGCGGGUCUGGACACGCUACCGGGAGGGCCUCCGCCGGUCCCGGGGCGUGACAGGUGUCACCGGUUACACGAUCGCGCUACAACCAAACCCGAGAGUUGCUAUUUCGGGUUUUACACUGUGUACCGGUACACUUUUAGUCUGUCACCAGUACACAGCCUUUUUAGGACUUAGCCAAUUUUUUUCAACUUUUCUCCGUUUUCGCUCGUUAGGCCUCUGAUUCAUCUUAAAUCGCACCGAAACCCCCAAAACAUAUUUUCGAGCGUGUCUCAACCAUCUUUUCAUCCCCGCUUAUGCCGGAUUUAACCCAUGGUCCAACAUGGCCUUUCGGGUUCCGUUUUCGCGCCAAACACGCACCGAAACACCCGAAUUCUCCCGAGCCUCAAUCUCGCAUUGUUUCGACUCCAAUUCACGCCGAGCAAUGCUAAAACCUUUCCAACUCCCUUGAACUCAACUUUAACCCUUCCAACAUUGUUGGAAUGUUAAAUAGGCUUUGUCCAACUAUUCCUUUCGCACACUUUAGUCAAUUUGACUAAAGUUCGAUAUUCUCUACCGAGUUUCUGUAUGUUACAUUCUCCACCCCUUAACAAGAGUUUCGUCCUCGAAACUCAACUCACACCUCAAUUCAGCUCCUCAAGCAAUUGAGGGCACUAAUGCACUUUCCCACUCCGGAAUGGUCUCACGUUCAUAGGAACAAUUCAAAGGUUCACAAUGGAGGAUACGAAACCAAAAGCAUACACUUUGCAAGGUGCAUCUCACAAAGUGCAUUAUGGUCUCCGUCCUUCUUGGUGGCAGCGCAAGUCGAAACUCGAUGACUCUACGUGCUCCAACAGCACUCGCCAAUCGGCACACAAAGAUUUUAUCCUUGCAUUUGCUUUCCCUUUGGCGAAUACAUUCCAAUUCCAAUCCUCGAACUCCAAGUGGCUUGUUACUAGCUCAAGGCCUCACCAAGAGCACUUUAUCUUCUAAUGCCAUAUGCCACGGUCAAUCUCAUAUCACUCUCGCAACGAGCACACACGAAUGCUUCGUUCGUGAAUUUGAGCGAAACCUCUCGAUAAGGCUAUCCACCAAAUCGCUUUCCUCAGUUUCCAUAGCUGGACCAAAGGUCACCAAUAGUACGUAGGCCUACCGCCUAAAUCUAUCUCAACGUACGCGCAGCGCCUCUCGCUCGCCAGCGUAGACCCAAUCAUCAUUGGGGCGAAAUUCUUACUUGGGAAUUCGCACACACUCCAACCAGGAGCAAUUCAAGACCUCAAACCAUUAUAGAUCCUCGGGUUGGGUCACAACUGAACUCUUGGUAUACAAUCGAUCGCACGACACGCUCUAUCGAGCACACGUAUCAUUACCGGCUCCUAUGCACCUAGCGCGAGUCACAAGUCCUACGAGUGAUCCAUGACACGCUUCACACCUAGUAAUGCUCAAGUGCUACUGCCAACACUCACGCGGCGGAACUAAAUCCGCACUCCACGAGUAAUUAUACUCGAGCGUCACACGCCUCUAUAGUGCUCCAAUUUCCUUUACUUGCCGCAGGCCAACUCUGCUGUCCAUAGCACUGGGUACCGAUACGCAUCAGGGGUGUCACUGGUACUCCGUUGCACAGAGACCAAACUCGAGAGCAACCUAUUCUCGAGUUGCUGCCUGGUACCGGUACAAUCCAAUGCUUAACCGGUUAACAAUGCUCCAGACUUCGAUUUCGCAUUGUUUCGCUUCGAUCAAUGCUAAAACCCUUUAAUCUCUUUUAGAACUCAACUUUAACCCUUCCAACAUCGUUGGAAUGUCAUAUGGACUUUGCCCAUAGGUCACCACUAGCAACUCACUAGUGCCAUCUAGUCUCCACCUGCUCCAGCAGGUGCUCCGCUUUCACAACGCAAGCAUGCCCGGGUAUUUACACUUAUCCAUCCACUUGGUCCCUACUAUACUAAGGUGUAAGUAGUAGCAAAUGACCAUAUGCUCAAUGCAUGCAAUGCACCAACUUUACAUCAUGCAGAAACACAUGACUACAUCAAUUAAAUCAUACCUGCCAUGACGUCGUCAGUAGCAGCAGGUCCGACAUCCUGGGUCGCGUGUCCAUGGCCACUUGGCGCCCACUGCGAACCCCUUGGUUGCAUCACCACCAUCGCUCGCUCUCCCGACCGUGCCGCAGGUGGCAUACCCGCAGGCUGUCCCGAGGAGGAAAAGGCGGUCGCCAGCGUCAAAGCCUGGCUAUCACCUUGCGGACACUCAUCCCACAUAUAGCCUGGUUGCCCACAACGAACACACUUUCCAUCAUGCAGCGCACAUCGCCGCGCCCUGUGGGAACCACCACAAAUCACGCAGCUUGGAGAGGAUCGAGUAGAUGACGACUUCGGGUGUCGCCUGGAACUUGAUUGUCCACCUGGAUUGCUCGAUAAUGGCCUCACUCCACCCCGCUCGUGUUCAUAAGACUCGUGCUCCUCACGCACGAAAGCCUCACCGUGCUCUGCCCAUAACGCUCGGUCCAACAUCUCCGCGUAGGUCGUGAGUUUGAAGAUUUGCACCUUCUCGUAAAUAUCCGGUUGAAGUCCACGCAGAAACCAAUCGGCCAUUGUCAUCCCGUACCACAUCAGGGACACAAUUCACGAUACGGGAGAAUUCCCGUUCGUACUCCCUCACAGAGCGGUCUCAUUGCCACAGCUUCCUGAACCUGUUCUGAAGCUUUCUCUUUUCACUGUCGGAAAAGUAAGUAGAAAAUACCAAUCCCUGAAACUCAUCCCAUGCCAUAGGAGGGAGACUAGGCGAUCGAUCCCGUCGAAUGCCCUUCCACCACACCCUCGCCGAUUGCUUCAAGCAAUGCACGGCUAGGGGCACCUUGUCCCGCUCCAAUGUGUACAGCUCCUCGAAGAGCGUUUUCAUGGAGUCAAUCGACAUCUCUACGAUCCACGGAUCGACAUUCUCUCCAUCGAAGAUAGGUGGAUCAAACUUCUUGAAGGUCAUGAGGGCCGCCAAAGCCCGCUCAUUCUCCGCCUCCACCAAUGCACUUUUGGGAGUCGGAUCGCCCGACCCCGACGGAAACAUCUCCGCCGCAAUUCCCUGCCGUCCUCGACGAGCCGCAACUGGUGCGGUCACCAGCUGAUCUACCAUUUCCUGGAGUCUCUUAAUUCGCUCCUCCUGGCGCAUAGCAGCCUCUUGCUGUCGCUGCACCACAUCGGCUUGUUGCCUCACCACUCCCACGAGUGUGGCCAAUUGAUUGCGAAGUUCCAAGUCUCCGCUCGCCUCAGAUUGCUCAGGGACAUCACUUAUCCCAUCCCGCGCCGAUCUAGCUGAAGAUCACCUAUGCGGUGCCAUCGUUCCCUGAAACACGACAACUCGAUUAAUCCUCAACCUUCUUAGGUCGAGCACAAAACAAUCAACUUCGACUCAAAUCGGACGAAAGUCAUACAAGAGCGUCUAUUCUCAUCACUCGGUUUCAUGUUGUACAUGCCCAACAUGAACACCCUCGGUUGAGAAUACACCACACCUUGAGUCUAACUGUAAUAUCCGUCUUAGAGGUUUACAACACAACCCAAUCCAUAACCUUUCGCCAUAAGUCUCAAGUCCUCGUCUCUCACGAGCCUUAAUCUCCUAUGGUUUACUAUCCUAGGGUCUCCUAGGUCCAACUAAACCGUUUUUUUUAUAUUCUUUUAUGUUCGUUCUAUUCUCCCUUUAUGCUCUGAUACCAUCUUAUCUGUCAUGCCCCGAGCCCGCCUCUUUGGCUGGUUCGGGCACGCCGACAGACCGCCGAACGGACAGGAUUUUUCCUGUACUGCGGACAAAGUCCCCCAUGUAUGUCCAAGGCGUCACAAUCCAAACAAUGCGCGAGGUUCCAAUCAGGAACAGCAUACAACACAGGUUGCAUAAGAAAAGUAUCGAAAACAUAAAUACUAUUAUGCUAUUACAAGCAUUCAACUCAAAUACAUUUUACAUUACACAUUACAUUUUCAACUUCUCUUAGUAACUUCCAAAUACAAUCCAAUUUAACAUAAUUAUUACAAUAAUGAUUCUUUUCUUUUCUUUGACAUCCCUAAGCAGUCGACUCAGGGUACCGCUAUCUUUGGUCUCGGUGGUAGGGCGCUAACUACGGAGCUACGCCAUUUUCUCGCGCUGCCGCGCCGCUCACGUGUGAACCUGUACCCCUAAUGUGUACCGGUACACAUCAGGGGUGUCACCGGUUACACGAUCGCGUAACAGCCAAACCCGAGAGCUGCUGUUUCGGGUUUUACACUGUGUACCGGUAUACUUUUAGUCUGUCACCGGUACACAGCCUUUUUAGGACUUAGCCAAUUUUUUCAGCUUUUCUCUGUUUUCGCUCGUUAGGCCGCCAAUUCAUCUCAAAUCUCACCGAGACCCCCAAAACAUGUUUUCGAGCGUGUCUCAACCAUCUUUUCAUCCCCGCUUAUGCCGGAUUUAACCCAUGGUCCAACAUGGCCUUUCGGGUUAUGUUUUCGUGCCCAACGCGCACCGAAACACCCGAAUGCUCCCGAACCUCAAUCUCGCAUUGUUUCAACUCCAAUUCGCGCCGAGCAAUGCUAAAAUCUUUCCAACUACCUUGGAACUCAACUUUUGUCCUUCCAACAUUGUUGGAAUGUUAAAUAGGCUUUGUCCAACUAUUCCUUUCGCACACUUUAGUCAAUUUGACUAAAGUUCGAUAUUUUCUACCGAGUUUUGGUAUGUUACAAGCCCGCCCGUUCCACCCGCGCCGUCGCCGGCGCCCGCCCUCCCCCUCGGCUCACACCCUCGCGCUCGCUUGCGCUCGCGCCCUUGCAGUGCCCACGCCCGCCCGCGCCUGCGCACGCUCGAUUGCCCCACUGCUCCUCCGCCCUUGGCGCGCCGUCGCAAAGCGCCGCGAGCCGUGCCUUGCCCCCUGCGCCCGCCCCGCCCAGCGCCGGCUGCCUGCGCGCCGCCCUUGAGCAAGCCCGCCCACCCCUCGGCCAGCCCGGCCCGCGCCCUGCGCCAAGCCCCGCCCUGCGCCCUCGCCCGUGCCUGCGCCUCCCGCUACCACGUGUGCAGUUAUUGAGAAAUAAUAUAUCUUUAUAGAUGGGCCAACUUUUUUGAUUUUGUAGAUUCGAGCGGAUUUUCAGCCACCUAACCAAAAUGCCCCUCGUCUACAUUCGUCGUCCGCGUAUUCCCUGAGAUUCAUAUACCCUAACGUACGGUCCUGGCGGGUAUUAAAUGCGCCCCAUGCGCUUUACGCAACCUCGCUCUCAUCGGAACCCGGACCAAAUCUGCUCCGCUAUGCGCCAGCACUAGUGUUUGCUCUUCAUCUUAAAAAAAUUAAAUUUGCUGAAGCUAAAUGACAAAAACUACGCGGCCCACAACAGAAAUAAUAGUGCAACACCAUGUAGCAACAUGACGAGAAAUAGUGCAACAACCCUUCUAAUAGUGCAUCCUUCGGCUGUCACGAGUGCAAUCUCAGUCGCUCAGAUGUGUGACGUUAGCGUUCAAUUUUCUCCCUCAAAGGGCAUCAUUCUUGUAACACACUGGACCUUUGCAAAUUGUGAGGUUCGAGUGUUUGGAUGUAUUUCGAGCUUUUCCACACUUGGUGGAGGGUUGUAGAACGUUUUCCGACCUAAAAAGUUCGAAAAUCGGAAUUCUGGAUAAGUCCUGAGAGUUUUUACUCUCGGGGACUGGUCCGUGGAAGGAGAGACCGGUCCCCCAGUGAGCAGUGUUGAGGCAGCCUGAGGCAACCGGUCCCUGGCAGGCGAGACCGGUCCCCGAGCGCGUCUUCGCAGUGAGAGACCGGUCCUGCACGGGGAGAGACCGGUUCCCGAACGUUGGUUUUUCGGGUUCGCAGCGAGAGACCGGUCCCUGCUGGGGAGAGACCGGUCCCUCUGGGCGAAAACUGCCCAGUUCGGGCUGAUGUAAUAUUGGGUUUUUGAGGGGCCUGGUUGGAUUUUGUUACUCUAGAUGGGCUUAUUAGCCAUUUCACUCCCUUCCCUCCUCAUUUCUCACCACCCUACACCUUCUAGAGAGAGAAGAAGAAGAAGGAGAAGAAGAAGAAGGAGGAGAAGAAGAAGAGGAGCUAGUUUGAGGGAGCUUGGAGCUCAACCCCUUUCUCUCUUUCCCACCUUGGCAAGGCUUGGAGCUUGCUUGUAGAGCUUAGUGGUGGACCAACUUCAACCCUAGAAGAUUUUGAGCUUGGAUUGGAGCAUCCUAGAGGUAUGUGGCAAGGUUCCUCCCUCUAGAUCUUAGUUUUGGAGCUUUUUGCUUGUUUUAACCCUAGAAUGAGAUUUAGGGUUUAAUUUUGGGCAUUUUUGAUCUAGGGCUUUUGGGGCUAAAUUGAUUGGUUUAGAACCUUCCUAGGGCUUGGAUUGGAAGGGUUCUAGCUCUCUUUUGGAGCUUUGGGAGAGAUUUCUACUCUUGAGGUAAAUUUUGGCCCUUUUUGCUCCUAGGUUAAUGUUUGAUCUUACGGUUGGUCGUGAUGCUCCCGUAUCUCUUCACUGACCACUUUUAGGGUAUCUUGAGGCUCGUGGACAACUUCGUUCGGCGAAUCGAGACCCUACGCGACGGUUCGGUGGGUUUGACCUAGCCACACAAUGAGAAAUUCUCAUGUGUGUUUAAUUAAGUGUUGUUAAAUGAAAAAGCAUGCAUAUUCUUGUUAUACGAAUUUAUUGUGAAUUUUAGAAUGCUUAAAAGGCCUACGUUAUAUAUAAUGAAAUUUUGGACCUCUAUGUAGUAGAGAGUAGCUUAUUAGGCCAUGGUUGCAUUUAGCAUUCUAUAUGAGACGCGGUAUCCUACUUCUAUAGUAUAAAUGAGUUCGGAUUCAUGCAUGUAAACCUACAAUUACUUGUGACAUGAAAAUUGACAAGAUUGUCAUUUAGAAGCUAUGUGAAUUAGAGAGCUAAUGUCAUCAAGCGGCAUUGAGCUCGGGACGCGUGUGAACCUAAUGGAUAGGGCCAUCAAGGGAUUUGAAAUACAUAUUGAACAUCAGAUUGCCUAAGUGUCAUCAAAGGGCACUAGGCGUAGCAAAGGUUGAACCUUCACAUUGUGACAUAAACUAGAUCUUUGGGAUACUAGUGACUAUACCAUGUUAGAGACAUGAGGAUUGGAUACUUUAGACUUGGACUUUGCUUGCUUGCCAUUUGUGCUCAUUCGCACAUGCUUGUGAGGGUCGCUCCCUACAAGCCGGCACUCCGGAGUUAGCCUAUGCGACCUAUGUUCGCUCGUGCGGUAUUGAGAAGCCUACGGGGUCGAGUGGGACAGACACAUUCCAAGAGUAGGAAUGUCGGGCUACCACAGGCACUUAGGCGGCACAAGCUGGACUACCUUUGGUAGGUCCUUGAUUGGAAAUGGAAAUCGAUACGGGGUCGAGAUUGGUUAAUCACUACUAGAUAGGUUUAGUAGUUGGAUUACAUUUAUAUGUUUUUUUAGCAUAGUGUUGAGACAUGUAGUAUAUUUGAUAGUCUCUUGUUGCAUUAGAGCAUACUUGGUUGCCAUGAUAGAGCUUAUGCAUCAUGCAUUGAUAAGGGUUAUUGACAUUAGACUAGUGCCAUUGGACGUAAUUGUAAGGAUAGAAUAGAUGUACAUUUUGGUUUACAUCACGCUUUCUUUCAGCAGUUUAUUUACAUGCUCCUUAUUGCUUAUUAUUAUUAUCGUUGCUUACCUUUGUUUUUGGGGCCUAGUGGAGCAGGAGCUGAGGUCAGUAAUUGCCCACUGGGAACUAUAGCUUAUAGUUCUCACGCCCUCUUUUUCUCGAUGUUUUCAGAGCCUUCCACUCAGGGCGAGGCUAGGGACCGCGGGAAGGGAGUUGCUUCGAGCUAGCUUCCUUUGAGGACGAUUCGCUAGGUGGUCUACCUCUCGUUGUGUUUUAUUUUGGAGAGGUUGAGAGUUCUACCAGUGUAUUAGAGACCACCGUUUUUGUACUUUUGAGACAGAUAUUGUACUACUUGUGAUUUCUUUAUUGUCUAGCUUUACUUGCUCUGAUAUCAUUAGUUGCUAGUUAUUUCACCUCGUCAUUUGUUCUAUUCUUGCUUUUACUUCCGCUUUUAUUGUAGACGCCUUAUAUGUGUAGACAUAUGGCGGGUCUGGGCACGCUACCGGGAGGGCCUCCGCCGGUCCCGGGGCGUGACAGAUUAAUUUGGUAUCAGAGCCUAGGGUUGAGUCUUAGUGGACCUAGCGAACCUUAGGC
rnacentral:lncRNA from 1 species